rnacentral:rRNA from 1 species
UUUAUGGAGAGUUUGAUCCUGGCUCAGGAUGAACGCUGGCGGCGUGCCUAAUACAUGCAAGUCGAGCGAACAGACGAGGAGCUUGCUCCUCUGACGUUAGCGGCGGACGGGUGAGUAACACGUGGAUAACCUACCUAUAAGACUGGGAUAACUUCGGGAAACCGGAGCUAAUACCGGAUAACAUGUUGAACCGCAUGGUUCAACAGUGAAAGACGGUCUUGCUGUCACUUAUAGAUGGAUCCGCGCCGCAUUAGCUAGUUGGUAAGGUAACGGCUUACCAAGGCAACGAUGCGUAGCCGACCUGAGAGGGUGAUCGGCCACACUGGAACUGAGACACGGUCCAGACUCCUACGGGAGGCAGCAGUAGGGAAUCUUCCGCAAUGGGCGAAAGCCUGACGGAGCAACGCCGCGUGAGUGAAGAAGGUCUUCGGAUCGUAAAACUCUGUUAUUAGGGAAGAACAAAUGUGUAAGUAACUAUGCACGUCUUGACGGUACCUAAUCAGAAAGCCACGGCUAACUACGUGCCAGCAGCCGCGGUAAUACGUAGGUGGCAAGCGUUAUCCGGAAUUAUUGGGCGUAAAGCGCGCGUAGGCGGUUUUUUAAGUCUGAUGUGAAAGCCCACGGCUCAACCGUGGAGGGUCAUUGGAAACUGGAAAACUUGAGUGCAGAAGAGGAAAGUGGAAUUCCAUGUGUAGCGGUGAAAUGCGCAGAGAUAUGGAGGAACACCAGUGGCGAAGGCGACUUUCUGGUCUGUAACUGACGCUGAUGUGCGAAAGCGUGGGGA